UACAGAGGGGGCAAGCGUUGCUCGGAAUUACUGGGCGUAAAGCGCACGUAGGCGGCUCUUUAAGUCGGGGGUGAAAUCCUGGAGCUCAACUCCAGAACUGCCUUCGAUACUGAAGAGCUUGAGUCCGGGAGAGGUGAGUGGAACUGCGAGUGUAGAGGUGAAAUUCGUAGAUAUUCGCAAGAACACCAGUGGCGAAGGCGGCUCACUGGCCCGGUACUGACGCUGAGGUGCGAAAGCGUGGGGAGCAAACAGG
rnacentral:rRNA from 1 species